GAAAUGCGAUAAGUAAUGUGAAUUGUAGAAUUCAGUGAAUCAUCGAAUCUUUGAACGCACAUUGCGCCCGCCAGUAUUCUGGCGGGCAUGCCUGUUCGAGCGUCAUUUCAACCAUCAAGCCCCCGGCUUGUGUUGGGGACCUGCGGCUGCCCGCAGGCCCUGAAAAACAGUGGCGGGCUCGCUGUCACACCGAGCGUAGUAGCAUACAUUCUCGCUCAGGGCGUGCUGCGGGUUCCGGCCGUUAAACGACCUUCAUAACCCAAGGUUGACCUCGGAUCAGGUAGGAAGACCCGCUGAACUUAAGC
rnacentral:misc_RNA from 1 species